CAACAUAAUGAGCAAAUAGGUAUCAUGAACCGCUAUGUCAAGAUAUGAUGAAUAUGCUCUAUCAUGUAGCAAGGUAUACUAUGAUGCAACGAAUAAGACUAUCAUGUGUACUGCAAGUCCUAACACUAUGCUAUAAGUAUGUCAAGGUAAUCCAACUACUAAGCCUAUCUAGUAGUGAUAGUCAUUUCCCGGUUCAAUGUCAUUGUUUCCAACAUGUUCUAGAACCUACAUAUUGUAGUCCAGCUUGUGCCACCUAAGUGUCGGUGGUAGCUCCAGCAUUCCCACUCUGGAAAUGAGUUUAUCCCUCCCGACCCCAUAGAUUUCUCGAUUCCGCACGAGCGAAC
rnacentral:lncRNA from 1 species